GGAGAGUUGCCAGAGUUGGUCGAAUGGAUCGGACUGUAAAUCCGACUUGAAAGACGCAGUGGUUCGAAUCCACUACUCUCCACCA
rnacentral:tRNA from 1 species